UGCAUGUCUAAGUAUAAGCACUUGUACUGUGAAACUGCGAAUGGCUCAUUAAAUCAGUUAUCGUUUAUUUGAUUGUACCUUACUACAUGGAUAACCGUGGUAAUUCUAGAGCUAAUACAUGCGAAAAGUCCCGACUUCUGGAAGGGAUGUAUUUAUUAGACUAAAAACCAAUACGGGCGUCCUUGGGCGUCCCGUUCAUGUGGUGAUUCAUGAUAACUUCUCGAAUCGCACGGCCUUGUGCCGGCGAUGUUUCAUUCAAAUUUCUGCCCUAUCAACUGUCGAUGGUAAGGUAGUGGCUUACCAUGGUUACAACGGGUGACGGAGAAUUAGGGUUCGAUUCCGGAGAGGGAGCCUGAGAAACGGCUACCACAUCCAAGGAAGGCAGCAGGCGCGCAAAUUACCCAAUCCCGACACGGGGAGGUAGUGACAAGAAAUAACAAUCCGUGUCUAUAUAUUAGACGCGAAAUUGGAAUGAGUACAAUUUAAAUCCUUUAACGAGGAUCAAUUGGAGGGCAAGUCUGGUGCCAGCAGCCGCGGUAAUUCCAGCUCCAAUAGCGUAUAUUAAAGUUGUUGCAGUUAAAAAGCUCGUANNUGGAUUUCGGGAUGGGCCAGUCGGUCUGCCGCAAGGUAAGUUACUGGCUGGUCUGUCCUUCUUCGCAAAGACUGCGCGUGCCCUUAACUGAGUGUGCGUAGGAUUUGCGACGUUUUACUUUGAAAAAAUUAGAGUGUUCAAAGCAGGCUAACCGCUUGAAUACAUGAGCAUGGAAUAAUGGAAUAGGACUUUGGUUCUAUUUUUGUUGGUUUCUGGGAACCGAAGUAAUGAUU
rnacentral:rRNA from 1 species